UGGAAAGAGAAGAAGUCAUUGAUAUUUUAAGGUUGUUUAAAUGAAUAUUUUCAAUUAUGAAACAGAAAAUUUAAUAAAAAUAACACACACACACUAUAUAUAUAUUUGUGUGUGUGUGUGUGUGUGUGUAUAGAGAGAGAGAGAAAUGGAAGCCAUUCUGAUGGUCUUGUUAGAGAUAAUUGGAACUAAAAAUGGCCUAGCACCCUCUCCUGGUAUGCCCCACGGAGGACCUUACCGUCUUCAA